AUACGGAGGAUGCGAGCGUUAUCCGGAUUUAUUGGGUUUAAAGGGAGCGUAGGUGGGAUAUUAAGUCAGCUGUGAAAGUUUGGGGCUCAACCUUAAAAUUGCAGUUGAUACUGGUUUCCUUGAGUACGGUACAGGUGGGCGGAAUUCGUGGUGUAGCGGUGAAAUGCUUAGAUAUCACGAAGAACUCCGAUCGCGAAGGCAGCUCACCGGGCCGGAACUGACACUGAUGCUCGAAAGUGCGGGUAUCAAACAGGAUUAGAUACCCUGGUAGUCCGCACAGUAAACGAUGAAUACUCGCUGUUUGCGAUACACUGUAAGCGGCCAAGCGAAAGCGUUAAGUAUUCCACCUGGGGAGUACGCCGGCAACGGUGAAACUCAAAGGAAUUGAAGGGG
rnacentral:rRNA from 1 species